ACACUUUCUGCUGGAGACAAUAUAAGGACAUUGGAAGAAGGGAGUCUAGCUCUUGCUCCUUUGCCUGCUUGCUGCGUGAGACUGAGUAACUGCUAGAUCCUUGGACUUCCAUUCACAGCUG
rnacentral:miRNA from 1 species